GGCUCAAUGGUCUAGUAGUAUGAUUCGCGCUUCGGGGUGACUAAUCCAGUGCUUACGUAAGCAUUAUUGUGCGAGGUCCCGGGUUCAAGUCCCGGUUGAGCCC